rnacentral:sRNA from 1 species
ACGUUUUUUUCAUAGAGAUUUAGAUUUAAGGUUAGAAGAAUUGUGGAAGUCGUGAGACUUCCCUUUUUUUCAUCUUAAAUUGUGUCUUUCGUUCACCUUAAUUUUUAGCAAGGUGCGGAGGAUAAAAAAAGCCUUUUCGCGAGAAAAGGCUUUUUU